AUGAAUCUAAGAUAGAUGAAGAAAAGAUAUUUUUCCUUCCCUGUAGUAACAAAUGCAUUAGAGUGACAUGGAGCCUAUUGGAGGACCACAAAAAACAGGCUGCUCAACCCACAUGGGGUGUCAGGGACUUAACAUGGAUCCCCUGUCCUGAAUCAUAUGCAUUUUAUAGCAGGAAGGAAGUGCUCCUACCAAGGCACUCCUGACUAAUAAUGACCUGAGGUUCAUAGAUGGCUCAGGGUCACCAGCUGGGGGCUGGGCAGCUCCUUCAAACACCCGUGGAGGCAGCAGUCUGUUGUGAACAUGGAAGCACAGCUGAACCACUGAUCAGGUUCAAGACAGAACUCUGAAUCCAAGACUCCUUCAGUGUGGCAAGUCUACCAUGGCCCCCAAGGAAGCUGCCUUCGAGGAAUUAGGAAUCACUGCUGUCUUCUUGGAGGAAGUCCUGAGAGACACACAUAGCUCAGACCAGACCAGUGGAAGUGACAAUGGGCAGAUAUUGCUACUCCGGGACAUAUCUGCUGUGAGAGCCCCUUCAGAGGUUUGUAAACCUGAUUUCUGAUUAGCACAUUUAGAUAGAUGGAAGGACUCAUUGCAAAUUCUUCAGAUCCAUGAUGGGGUAGACUAGAUCAAGAGUCUGAAAUGAAAACAGAUAAGAAAAAGUAAAUAGAAAUCUAAUAUUUUUUCCCACAGACUCGUUGGUCACAUUGCACACACUCUGGGUAGGCACAGCCCUCUUUGUAGACAACUAAUUUAGAACCUCUUACGUCUCCUCUAACACCUGUGUAGACAGGGCUACUUGGUUACAACACUCUCUCAGAGCCUGCAGGAAUCCUCAUCCUUCAUUGCAACAUAGUGAUCUCUAGGCCAGGGGCUGGCAAACUACAGCCCAUUGGUCAUAUCUGGCCAGAUGCCUCUUUUUAUAAAGUGUUAUUGAGACACAGCUGCACUCACUUGGUUAUGUAUCAUCUGUGCGGCUUUCAGACUAUAAAGGCAGAAGUGAGUAAUUGCCCCCAGAGACCGUAUGGUCCGCCAAGAUGUAAUUAUUUAUUAUCUGAUGCUUUAUAGAAAAAGUUUGACAACUCCUUUUCUAGACAGUCAGUGUUGCUCAUUGUGUGUUGGUCAUGAAAGGUAAAACUGUGUGCCAUCCCUGCUCUAGAGUUAGGCUGGAGUUUGGAGCAUAGCGCUUUGUGCUAGUGAGGCCCAACUUGGCCUUGCUUUCUCCUAGAUUAGCACCUAAUCCUGGCUGGCUUUCUUAGAAAGCUUCAACCAUUGGCCCCAGGGACAGAGAACCAAGUAUGGACAAAACCGGUCACCCAAAGUCCAUGUCCUACAUAGUGUGGGGCAGCUAUCUCCUCUCCCAUCCCUACCCCUCUGCUACCUGCCCCAGGUGGAUGUGUGAGCUUUUCAGCUCAGGUAACACUAGCAGCUGAGAGGCCUCCAUUGCUAGAGGGCUACACUGAUGCCAUAUACCCUGAGGGGACUGCCUGCUAGGUGCUGAGAUGUCUGAAUUUCUCAAGAGGAAUUGUUUUUCUUCUCUAAUGCAAGAUUUGAGGUGGCAGUGGGAAAAGGAACUAAAACGGUUUAUUCCACCUGUCCUAACAAGCUCCACCUGUGACAACACUCUCUUAUCCCCCCUCUGUUACUUUGGCCAUUGGAAGUAAGAAAGGAGAAAAGGAGUAAGGCUGAAAAAGGAGAUAAAAAGAAAAGGAAGGAAAAAAAAAAAAAAGGAAGGCAGAGUAAGAAAGUAUUAUUCUGGAAGUAUUAUAAGUAUUUAUAUAUAGUGAGAUGUUGAAUUUGAACCUAAAUGAAGUCUCCUCCUGCCAGGUUUGAGUGAUUCUCGCAGACUUCUUAGGUACCAGCCUGAGUUCUUGUGUAGGGGCUAAGAAAUCUACUGAGCAGAAGCUUCCUCAGGGAAGAAUCUGGCAAAUGAGCUUGGCCUGGUAAAAACAUCCCGUAGUCACUGCUGUCAAGUCCUGCUAUGGUCCAAAUGUUUGUGGCCCCUCACAAUUCAUACAUAAUAUGUAUAUACUGUACAUAUAUACACAUAUAUGUUUGGGGGUGAUUGGGGAGGUGAUUAGAUCAUGAGAGCAGAGCAGACACUUGGGAUUAGUGUCCAUAUAGAAGAGACCCCAGAGCUGCCUGUCUCUUCCAUAUGUGAGGACACGGUGAGCAGGCACCAUCCAUGGGCUGGACAGAGGCUCUCAAUGGACACCACCUUGAUGUUGGACUUCGCAACCUCCAGAACUGGGAAGAGAAUAAGUUUCUGUUGUUUGUAAGCCACUCUUCAUGGUAUUUUGUUCUAGCAACAGACAAAGACGAGCUGCUUGGCACCUGGGAGCCCUGAUGUCUGUCAGCUUUGCCUCUUGGCCACAAUUCCUCCUCAGCCCGUCCCCUCCUUUCACCCCACUGUCACACACACUAUCUGUGUUCAAUUUGGAGGGGUGGGAAGUGCCUAGAACUGUAAAUAAAAACUGAAAAGUCUGCUCAUUGAAAGCCAGCAGACACUGGAUAAUAAGAAUGCUGUUUUGGUCAUAUCAAAUGGAUGUAACACUAAGAAAAAAGACAGAUGUUCCUUUUUUUCUGUGUGGGCAUUAUGUGGCUUCAGAACAUCACAUUCUCAGACAUAGUGUCUGUUACGCACCUCAAAGACUUGGCUCCCCUGUGGCUCUGGGAGAUGGCCACAAGGCAUAUCUUCACAGCUUAGCAGGAGCAAAAGCCUCAUCAGGGGAUUUUCCUGGAGAGAGCCUGAUCAUGAGGAAAGAAGAUGGUGGACACUCAGGUCUCUGACAGGACUUGUUUGUGUGCACACGUGAGCACAUGGGUUAGGAAAAUACCCAACUCCCUCUAAAGUAAGCCUGACUGACAUGGUUUUGUUGGUUUUGAUUUUAUUACUACAUCCCUUCUUUGGGGAACAUCUAAUUAUUUAAUUCCCAGCAAUCAGUAUGGACCUGGUUAGUGGCCAUUUUUAUUUUGGAACUGAAGUCCUAUGCUUUGUAUAAUUCAAAUUUCAUCACUAUGUGAAAUAUCCUGAGAUGUCCCAUUCCUUUCAGAUGUCCUGACUCCUGUUGGUGAAUAUGGUAGAGACUGCUCCCUCCCCUAUAAACCCCUGACGUGGUUAGGGGUGUCCUUUAGCAUAUGGGUCUCCUUAGACAAGCUGCAUGGCACCUGGAGCCCUGACGUCUGUCAGCUUUGCCUCUUGGCCACAUUCUUCCUCUUCCCUUCCCCUCCCUUCACCCUGGGAGUGGGGGAGGCUUGUUGCACUUCAUCUGUUCAGAAGAGUAUGUUUUUGUGUUUGCCCAAAGACAUCACAUGUCCUAAUGGUGGCCCUGGUUUGGGGCCACAAGGGAAAGUCCAAGAGGAUUGCAGAAUUUUGAGCCACCCCCACCCCAAUCACUGAGCCAACACUAGCACUUGCCUACCUCAAGAUUCAUCAUUAGUUGAAAGACAAUGAAAAUCCCACCUUGUUUUUUGGGUUUGGUGAAUAUACAGCUGAAUGUAAUUCCUUACUAAUGAUUAACAUAUUAAGGAAAAGCUUGGUGUGAACAAGAAAUAGGGGAGAAGCUUCCUCCUUGGAGUGCGAGAUGGCCAUAAGGCCUGGGUUUGAGGUCCAGACCUGCAGUCCUCUCAACCUGGGCCCCAGGCCAGCCCCUGCCCUUGCAGGGCUCAGAGUUGAGGCAGGACCAUUGUGCUUGAAAGCUCCCUUCCCCCAACUUAUUGAUAUCCUCUAUGUUCUGCCUGAUCUCUAGGCUCUUUGUGUGACAGUCAUGGGAUAUUUUCACCCUCCCUCACAGUUUUCAAGCUGAGAGAGUAAGUAUUACCUUUCCAAUAGCAAGGGCAAAUUUGUAAAAAGAAAAAAAAUAAUCUAGCCUAUUUCUGGACACCAAAGCUCAAAGUUUGGUGACUACCAACCAGGUGGUCGUGUAGUAAUUUAUUGCCUCUGCUGUGUGGUAAUUCAUUGACUGGCUAAUCCACGGGUUUGACAAAUCUUUGUCAUCGUGGAUAUUUACUUGUUACUAAUUUGGAGAUGUUAUGAAUAAAUCUGCUCUGAGCUUUCUUGUCUGUGUCUCCCUGCACACAGGUGUGCACAUUCUAGUAGGAUGUACACCUUGCAGUAGAACCGCUGGGUCGUGGGGUACAUUCUGUCAGCUCACUAGAUGACGCCAAGGUGAUUCUGUCCCACCAGCUGUACAUGAGAAGUCUUAGCACUCUACAUCCGUGCUAACUUUUGGAAAUGCUCAUCUUAGUAAGUUUAGCUCCUCUGGUACGCGUGGGUAUGUAGUGUGUGUUGUCUGUGUGUGUGUGUGUGAGAGAGAGAGAGAGAUUUCAAUAUAAUUUUUAUUAUUAGGUUAGUGUAUUUUUUUUUUUUUGAGUCUCACUUUGUUGUUCUCCGUAGAGUGCUAUGGCACAUAGCUACAGCAACCUCAAACUCUUGGGUUCAAGCAAUCCUCUUGCUUCAGUUUUAGUAGAGAUGGAGGGGUCUCACUCUUGUUCAGGCUGGUCUCGAACUCACGAGCUCAAGCAAGCCACCUCUUUCUGCCUCCCAGAGUACUAGGAUUACAGGUGUGAGCCACUGUGCCCAGCCAGGUUAAUCUGAUUUUUAUUAAAUUUUUAAACAUAGAAUAAUAAAGAGAAUACUUAUAUACCCACCAUUAGAUCAAUAAUUAUUAACCCAAAAGAGUGAGGUGGCUCACGUCUUUAAUCCUAGCAAUCUGGGAAGCUGAGGCAUGGGGUAUUGCCUGAGCCAGAGACCUGUCUCUAAAAAUAGUCAGGUGAUGUGGCACAUGUGGUCCCAGCUACUCAGGAGGCUGAGGCGAGGGAAUCACUUGAGCCCAGGAGUUUGAGGUUGCUGUGAGCUGUGACGCCAUGACACUCUACCCAGGGCAAGAAGGUGAUACUCUAUUUAUCUCAAAAAAAAAAAAAAAAUUUAUUAACCUCAUCUAUCUAUCUCUAUCAUCUAUUUUGCGUGUGUGUCCUUUAUUUUUAAAUACUUCAGCAUGAUUCUCUUAAGAAAAGGGACAUUCUACUACACAAUAAUCAAGAGAAUUAACAAUAAUUCCUUAAUGUCCAUGUUCAAUCUACCCCAAUUGACCUGAAAACAUCCUUUAUAGCUAGUUUUUGGAAAUAAAAAUCCACUCACAAUUUGUGCUUUGCAUAUACUCACGUUGUGUGUUUAGUUUCUUUUCAUUUUCAGUGCCUUUUGUUUUGUUUUAUGACAUUGACUUUCUUUUUUUCUUUUUUGCAGUUUUAGGCCAGGGCCGGGUUUGAACCCACCACCUCUGCAUAUGGGGCCAGCGCCCUACUCCAUUGAGCUACAGGCACCACCCAACAUUGGCUUUCUUAAAAGAUUGGGCCAGUUAUCCCCAGGAAGUCUCACGUUCUGCAUUUGUUUGAUGUUUUCUGGUGGUGCCUCACCUGUUCUCCUCUGGUAUUGCCUACAGUCUGGAAGUUAGGGCUAAAGGAUUGAUGAGAUGAAACUUGCUGUGAUUUUAAUUCGUGUCUGAGCCUGAGCACCUUUUUAUACAUUUAUUGGCCAUCUGGAUUUCAUUUCUUAUGAAGUGAUGAUCCUUGCCUACUGUUCUAUUUGAUAUUCUGUCCUUUUCUUACUGAUUUGUAGAAGUUCUUUAUAGCAGGGCCUUGAGAUUCACAGAGAAGAAUGGCAAAAAAAAAAAAAAAACAAAUCCUCUUGCAUAUCUGAAGUGCAGAAUGCUUUACUUGUUGGAGACUCCAUGCAGGCGUAUGUGGGACAGGCACAUCAUAGGUCCUGUUCUACACUACUCAACUUACUGGUGUAGUAGGGGUCUACUACCCUUUGGACAUCUCCCAGGUCAGGGGAGAUGAGGCAUGGCUCUACAUCUCUAGAGUCAGAGUUGUUACGGAUGCUGUUUAAGGCUGGGAGAAAAAGACAGUUUAUAUUUAGUUUAUUGAAGAAUCAAAACGAAAGCCCCUCAGUGUGUGGAGCAAUGAGUUCAUAACUUAAAAGACGAAAGAAAUUAAAGAGCGAGGCACCACCUAAGCAUACUGCAAGAAGGUGAAGGUGAAGGCCUGGGGAGGAGUGCAGAGAUGCGAUCUUAGGAAAGCUGGGGGCUGGGGUGGGAGCACUGCACCGUGGAAUAGUCUGCACCUGGAGGGCAGCCAGUCAGCACGUGCAAAGGAGUGGUUUCAGCUGUCUAGCCUCAAGACCAUCCCCUUCUAGAAAGGGGGAGGUGGCGCUCUGGGAGGACAGUCCUAGAUCCAGUACCUUCGUGGAGCCAGAGAGAAGGGGAGACUGCCCUGACUACCCUGAAAUGGAAGAAAUUUGUGAUGUAUUGUAAAGGGGUGGGAAUUACACAAUUAAAAUCACAUAAUUGUAUUUAUAGUAUGAUCCCACUUAGUAAAUGUGUAUUUGUGUAUAUGUCUAAAAAGAUCUGGAAGGUUAUUUCCAUGACAUUAAAACACAUUGUCUCUGCUUCCUCCAUUUAAAAAAAAUGUAUUUGUAUUAUAUAUCCACAGAACUUUCUGGUUAAAUGAGUUUUUUGAGUAGUUUUAUAAUUAAUAUAAAAGAU